rnacentral:lncRNA from 1 species
UGAUAGUCCUGAAUAGAGGAGACUAGAUAUGAAUGAUUGAUAUAGCCGACUCAGUUAAUUUUGGAUUGAGGUUUAGUAGGCGUUUCGAUAUGAAUUGAGUGAUAUUUGAAAAAAAGAGGUAUUUUGAAGUAAGGGUAUGUAGCGUUUGAAGUAGAGUUUGAGUAUGCAUUCCCAAAUUUUGAGUGAAAAAAUUGACAAAAGCAAUAGAUUCUUAUGCUAAUUGGGUCCUAAGUGGAUUGAGUGAUUGACUUCUGUUUGGGGAAGGGGAGAUAACGCGACACUUAAGUAUUGUGAUUGAGCUAAUGUUUCUUUGGUUUUUAAUCUUCUUUAGCGAAAGGCAUAUAAAUUAUAAUGAUCUUAGUGGAUCUACCAAUAGAAUUAAACAGCUUCACCACAGUUUUUAUGUUGAAAUUGAGAUUAUAAUGAGAAACAGGGACAAUGUUAUCUAACAGUCAUUUAAUCCAACUCAUAUGAACGAUAACAAAUGAAAUGCAAUGAUAAUGAAUGAAGAAAACUAAAGGAAAUAGCUAUAUGAAUCAAUACAAGCUCUUGGCAGUUGGUAUCAACCUCUACUUGAUAUGAAGCAUCGGUAGAAAUGGAAGAUAUAAUAGGAGGAAAUAGGAAGAUAGAAGGAUAAAGAAGUAGAGAAAAGAUAAGAGAUAGAAAGAAUAGAGGGAGAAAUCGGUGAGGAUAGAUGAAGAUUGAAGGGGAGUAGUUUCAGAUAAUUCCGGAUUCUGACGGUCUUUGCUGUAAUAGCUCAUCUGUAUAUAGAUAGACUAAGUUCGCACACCAGGCAUGGGAAAGCUGAGGUGCAGAGCUAAGUCCGCUCACGUGACUUCAACCAAUCCAUGUUCUGCUUAAUUGAUUCAGGCUAUGUUGCUCGGACUCUUCAAAAAUGUUGAUGGGCAUGUGUCAGAUCCUCCAAAAGUUGUGCAUUUUUAGUGGAUUGAGCAUAGGUACGACAACAUUUUGGAGAGUCCAAGCAAGAUAGGAUUCAGGUCUCAACAAAAAUGGAUUGUAAAUGAAGUUUUCUUAGAC